rnacentral:rRNA from 1 species
UACGGAGGAUGCGAGCGUUAUCCGGAUUUAUUGGGUUUAAAGGGUGCGUAGGCGGGAUGCCAAGUCAGCGGUAAAAAUGCGGUGCUCAACGCCGUCGAGCCGUUGAAACUGGCGUUCUUGAGUGGAAGAGAAGUAUGCGGAAUGCGUGGUGUAGCGGUGAAAUGCAUAGAUAUCACGCAGAACCCCGAUUGCGAAGGCAGCAUGCCGGCUUCCUACUGACGCUGAAGCACGAAAGCGUGGGGAUCGAACAGG